GGACAGAACAAAGGGCAGCGAAACCGCGAGGUUAAGCCAAUCCCACAAAUCUGUUCUCAGUUCGGAUCGCAGUCUGCAACUCGACUGCGUGAAGCUGGAAUCGCUAGUAAUCGCGGAUCAGCAUGCCGCGGUGAAUACGUUCCCGGGCCUUGUACACACCGCCCGUCACACCACGAGAGUUUGUAACACCCGAAGUCGGUGAGGUAACCUCUAGGAGCCA
rnacentral:rRNA from 1 species